rnacentral:rRNA from 1 species
GACGAACGCUGGCGGCGUGCUUAACACAUGCAAGUCGAACGGAAAGGCUCCAGCUUGCUGGAGUACUCGAGUGGCGAACGGGUGAGUAACACGUGGGUAAUCUGCCCUGCACUCUGGGAUAAGCCUGGGAAACUGGGUCUAAUACUGGAUAUGACCUUUCUCCUUAUGGGGUUUGGUGGAAAGUUUUUCGGUGUAGGAUUAGCCCGCGGCCUAUCAGCUUGUUGGUUGGGUGAUGGCCUACCAAGGCGACGACGGGUAGCCGGCCUGAGAGGGUGAUCGGCCACAUUGGGACUGAGAUACGGCCCAGACUCCUACGGGAGGCAGCAGUGGGGAAUAUUGCACAAUGGGCGGAAGCCUGAUGCAGCGACGCCGCGUGAGGGAUGACGGCCUUCGGGUUGUAAACCUCUUUCAGCAGGGACGAAGCGUAAGUGACGGUACCUGCAGAAGAAGCACCGGCUAACUAUGUG